AGUUGGAUCUGCCUCGUCUGAUAAAUAGAAUGCAUGAAAAACCAUGGCCAUGAAAAUGUCUUGAAAGUGCGCCUUUGGAAAAAUAAUCCGUAUUCUACUUGUUUGAUGUAGUUGAUGUCGUUGAAACAAGAUGCAUAAAUAUAAAUCGAUGCUUGCAUGCAUGAAUCAGUCCAUCGUAAGAAAUGAUUAUGCACGUGCAUUAUCUUUUGACACGUUUCCUUGAGGCAAAUAAAAAACACUACAAGGGUUUCAUAUUUGCUGUGCAGCUAUAUGUCAUGUCACGUCUGUUUACCGCGGGUAUUUGCAUAAUAAACAGAGAAACUAUGGACACAUCACUCCUACAAUAAGAAUUCAUCUUAAUUUAAUUGCGGUGCCAAAACAAAGUUAGGCAUUGCUUCAUUAGUAUAUUCACUGCGUGAGUUUGCUAGUCUGUUUGGAAUCAUAAGCCUUGGUAUUAUUUUCAAAAGUAGUAUAUCUUCGCGCGUUCGUGGUCCACGUGAUGUUUUGCGCAUGAUCCAGGAAACUAGGUCUGGUUUUACAUUUUUUCGUGAAGCAAAU